rnacentral:rRNA from 1 species
GAUGAACGCUGGCGGCGUGCUUAACACAUGCAAGUCGAACGGAAAGGCCGAAGCUUGCUUCGGUACUCGAGUGGCGAUCGGGUGAGUAACACGUGGGUGAUCUGCCCUGUACUUCGGGAUAAGCUUGGGAAACUGGGUCUAAUACCGGAUAUGACGAUCUCUUGGAUGGGGUUGUGGAAAGCUUUUGCGGUAUGGGAUGAGCUCGCGGCCUAUCAGCUUGUUGGUGGGGUGAUGGCCUACCAAGGCGUCGACGGGUAGCCGGCCUGAGAGGGUGUACGGCCACAUUGGGACAGAGAUACGCGCCAGACACCAACGGGAGGCAGCAGGGGGGAAGAUUGCACAAUGGGGGCAAGCCUGAUGUAGGGAAGCCCCGUGGGGGGGGACGGCAUUCGGGUUGUAAACGCCUUUCGCUAUCGACGAAGCCUUUUGGUGACGGUAGGUUGAGAAGAAGCACCGGCUAACUACGUG